UCUCCCGCUUUCCUCCCUGAGCGGGAAGCCUUAUCCCAAUGAGGCUUAAAUGCUUAACCCCGAUUUUACUCCCCUUUAAUCGGGGUUUUUUUU
rfam:Methylobacillus flagellatus KT, complete genome.